AUGGAAGACUAUCUUGAAGACAGUGAGACAACCCCAAAGUCCUGUCUUGGUUUAGAGUUCGAGUUACUGGCCACUACCGCUUGCACAAGCUAUUCAAACUCACUGUCUGAAUCAGUUCGGUUUCUUGAGUCUCAACUACAAGCUGAAAGACAUCGAUCAACUGUGCUACGACAAGAAGCGGAAGGACUGCGGAAGUCCCUGGAGCAUUCAGAUGCAUACUUUUUGGUGCAACAGCAAGCGUUGGAGGAUUUUAGCGCCAAACAGGACAAAGCUAAUAAGCUUGCUAAGCUUAUUGCCAGCAUGGUGGAUACCCAGGAUAACGUUUCUUGA
rnacentral:rRNA from 1 species